rnacentral:tRNA from 1 species
CGGUGUGUAGUCCAGUGGUAGGUCGCCUGCUUUGGGAGCAGGUUUUCGGGUGUUCGAUUCACCCCGCACCGA